UGCAUCAUGGUCUGGGUUGGCCUGUCUGGUUGGGAAUCACAGUGGCAUCUGUAGGAUUAUUCAUCGUCAUCAUCAUCAUCGUGUUCAUAAUGAGAAAACGAAGAAGUGCAAAAGCUGCAGUCAUCACAGUAAAACAGGAUGAUCUGUACUCUAACGUAAAUGAGAGGGAUGCUCACGUGUCUGAAUCAGCCGUUUGUGAUGAUGCUCCAUAUGCCAGCGUUUCAUACAGUAAACCCAGAAGAGACAGAAAUGAAGACCUUGAGGAGAUCCAGUACGUGACUGUCCAACAUCACAAAACCAAACCGACGCAGAGAGCAGAGGAGAAUGAAAACCAGUACGACAAUCUCAGGAUUCACCAGCCUGCUGCUGGCGUGAGGUGCACAGAUAAAUAUUCUUUCAUCAUCUGCUCUGUUGUGUUAAUAAAGAAAGGAGAAAUUUAUAGUUCUUUAAACAUGAACUUGCUGAAACAUGCUGAUACAAGAUGGCUGUAUUUUUUUUUUAAAUGACUUAUGUAGUCUGAUGCAUAACAUUAUUGUGUUUCUUUAUUUUUUUUUUUUUUUUUUUUUUUUAGGCGAUCAGAUGUGGAGACUGUGGAAGAGGACUCUGUGAUCUACAGCAGCGUCAAAUGAAUGACAGACCAUCAUGAAGCCUGUUUAUACAUCAAUCUGGUCUGCUGGGAAAAGCAAAAGCCACAAAUAUUUGCUGAAUAUGUACAAAUAUUAAUUAAUGCCCUUGAAAGUUUGGCUGUUUAAUUUAGCAUGCAGUUGAACUAAAUUUAUGGCAUAUUAUUCAUUAAAUCAGGUGAACAGAUGAGCAGGAAACAAAAAAGCCAAAACUAAAAAAAGAUGUUGUGAUGUGUCGUGGUAAUGUGUUUGUUAAAAAUUAAAUGAUUCAAACUUUUUAUUUCAAACGUUUCUGUGACCAAAUAAAUGAACGUAUCAGUUUAAUCAAGUUCUAGCUCCAUUUGUUCAUGAUUUCAGUUCUUUAAAUCUUUAUUUACUUCUAUUGUAGCCCAGGCAGUCAACUCCAGCUCACUGCAGAGCUAAACUGAAAGAAAUAUACCUAAUAUUUUUGUUUGUAAUCAUUACCCUGUGAGCUGCACUAAACGGUGUAAGACGCAAAAAAUAAAUAAAUAAAUAAUGAUAAAAAAAAAAUAAUAACAUUAAUAAACGGUCUACAAAAUGACUAAAUGUAAAUGUAAUAUUAAUAAUAACGUACCAUAUGUGAUUGCCGGGUUACUAUUAAUAUCCUGUUUUUAUGGGGUCUAUCACAACAAAAUCUGCAAACAUCAAUGAUUAUUUGUAGUGAAACUAUGUGUGUUUAAAGAAAAGUUCAAAAAUCAGUUUGACUAAAACAACAGUUUAAGCUAUAGAGCCCCUAAAGUGACAUAAAUAUGAAAAAUUAUAUUUCAGUGUUUUUGAUUUCGCUAAUAAUAUUUUUAAUUCCCUGAGAAACUUUUGUGAGCAAGUUUAAUUUCCUGUCCCACCACGUCUACUGCCCACCACCUCCUGUCAGUACUUUUUCUGCCAGUAAACUGAAGGCAAAAAAAGGAAAUCUUUCAAUGACAUUUAAAAAUAACUUGUCUGUCUGUGGUCAAAAUAACGACAUUCAGUCUUAUGCAAUAUAUGUUUCAAAACUGUUCAGAAAAUAUUUCCAGGAAGAAAAGGUGGCCAGUUUAAAUUUUUUAAAGCAAACAGUGUUAAGCAUGUGAAAUCAGUUUAACAUCUGCUGGAGAUCAGACUCACCAGAAAAUGGUAAGAGUUAAUGUAUGAAUAUUAAUAUGUGAAUAUAGAUUAAUAUAGAUUAAAACUGUUGUAGAAACCACUGGUUUAAUAAAAAAAUAUUCUCACUGAAAAGUGAUUUAUGGAGACGUUUUUGAAGCUAAAGUUUGUAUUCAAAAUGAUGAUUGUGCAUUUUAUUGUUUUUGUAGUGAUGUCAGUCAGAAUGGCUCCUCCUCUUCCUCUGGUGUUUCUGCUCGUUCAUGGUGAGUCACUGGAUAACGAUUAACAAACAUUACAUAGUCGCUUAAUAAACCUGUUAAAUAAAUAUAUUACUUGUGAAUU
rnacentral:lncRNA from 1 species